rnacentral:rRNA from 1 species
AUUGAACGCUGGCGGCAGGCCUAACACAUGCAAGUCGAGCGGUAGAGAGGUGCUUGCACCUCUUGAGAGCGGCGGACGGGUGAGUAAUGCCUAGGAAUCUGCCUGGUAGUGGGGGAUAACGCUCGGAAACGGACGCUAAUACCGCAUACGUCCUACGGGAGAAAGCAGGGGACCUUCGGGCCUUGCGCUAUCAGAUGAGCCUAGGUCGGAUUAGCUAGGUGGUGAGGUAAUGGCUCACCAAGGCGACGAUCCGUAACUGGUCUGAGAGGAUGAUCAGUCACACUGGAACUGAGACACGGUCCAGACUCCUACGGGAGGCAGCAGUGGGGAAUAUUGGACAAUGGGCGAAAGCCUGAUCCAGCCAUGCCGCGUGUGUGAAGAAGGUCUUCGGAUUGUAAAGCACUUUAAGUUGGGAGGAAGGGUCGUUACCUAAUACGUGGCGAUUUUGACGUUACCGACAGAAUAAGCACCGGCUAACUCUGUGCCAGCAGCCGCCGCUGUAA